rnacentral:rRNA from 1 species
GACGAACGCUGGCGGCGCGCUUAACACAUGCAAGUCGAGCGAUGAAAUCUUAACAGAACCCUUCGGGGUGAAGAUAAGACGGAUUAGCGGCGGACGGGUGAGUAACACGUGAGUAACCUGCCUUUUACACAGGGAUAGCCUCAGGAAACCGGGAUUAAAACCUGAUGAAACUAUCAAAUCACAUGAUUAAGAAAGUUAAAACUCCGGUGGUAAAAGAUGGACUCGCGUCCCAUUAGCUAGUUGGUGAAGGUAACGGCCCACCAAGGCAACGAUGGGUAGCCGGCCUGAGAGGGUGAACGGCCACAUUGGAACUGAGAAACGGUCCAAACUCCUACGGGAGGCAGCAGUGGGGAAUAUUGCACAAUGGGGGAAACCCUGAUGCAGCGACGCCGCGUGAGCGAAGAAGGCCUUCGGGUCGUAAAGCUCUUUUAUAUGGGAAGAUAAUGACGGUACCAUAAGAAAAAGCCCCGGCCAACUACGUG